rnacentral:lncRNA from 1 species
CUCACACCAAAAUAACUCUUCUCCCAUUUCUGGCUCUCUCCUGUGCUGACGAGGGGGCAAGAGGGGGCAAACUCAACGAAGUAACUGCCAGGCUUGUUGGGAAUUCAGGGAGCUGCUCAUCAAACUUUCAUAUAUAUCCAAACUCCCAUAGCAGAAACAAUAAAAUGGGGGAGGGAGGGAUGUUUGUACUAAAAAAAAAAAAAAAAAAAAAAAAAAGCAGACCGCAGUGGUGCUGGGCGGGGACAGAGAGUUCUCAUUCAUGGCUUUCUUCAUGGCAGGGUGAAAGGGUUUACCUUUUCCCUCUGCCCCCCUCUCGGCACCGUUUUAAUUUUGGGAUGGAUUAAGGCAAACCCGGGGUCGGGAGAUCUCCUCCCAGCAGACUGCACCGGGAAGCGGCUGCUGUGGCUCCCGUAAGUACGCGGAGACCCACGUUGCCCGGAAAAAAAUAAAAGCGAUUUCUUCAUUGACAAAAAAAAAAAAAAAAAAAAAAAAAAAAAAAAGAGAGAGAGAGAAAAGAAAGGGAAACAAAACCCACGCCCGCCUGGGGCUCCGGCGCCGGCACAUGCAAUGCCUGGGUGGCGGGGCCGGACUCCUCCUUAAGGUGUAUUUAAUUAUUUGGGGGAAAUUAUUAUGAAUUAAAAUUAAUUAGCUAAUAUCCCCCCCCUCAACCGCAAGGGCAACCCCGGGAGAAGGAAGACCGGCUGCAUCCCUGACAAAAGCGGGGAGCGGCUCCCAGCUCCGCGCUGGUGCCGUACUGGUGCAUACUGGUGCGAGCAGCCCCCCCGGCACAGCUCGGCACGGCUCGGCUCAGCACAGCCGUGCCGCGGAAGGACGUCUCACCUUGUUUACCCUGAGAGCGGCAGGCGGCCGGGGCGGGCCGGGGCGGGCCGGGGCGGAGCGGAGCGCGGUGGGCGGCGGGGCCGGGCCGGGCCGUGCCGGGCCGGGGCGGGCGGCGGUGCCGGGGCAGUACAGUCAGCCUGCGCGCUGGGCACCGUGCGGGCGUGCGGCGGCGGCCGGCAGCGAGGCACGGAGGCAGCCAGCGUCCCCGCCACCGUCCUUUAGUGCACCUCCGUUCCCCGCGGUGAGAAGCCGGCCCCGUUCUCGCAGCGCUGCUUUAUUUAUUUUUUUUUCUUUUCUUUGUUGUUUCUGUUCUCCAUUCAGCCCCCAGCCCCAAAUCCCUCCGUGCGCUUGGGAUUCGCCUCCCCUCUCCCGGGGUCGCACUUUUUCCCCUUUUCCCGGAGCAGCCGCGCCGCCGGCAGCAGCCGGGUCCCUUUGGCCGCCGGGCGCGCA